rnacentral:rRNA from 1 species
GACGAACGCUGGCGGCGUGCUUAACACAUGCAAGUCGAACGGAAAGGCCCUGCUUUUGUGGGGUGCUCGAGUGGCGAACGGGUGAGUAACACGUGAGUAACCUGCCCUUGACUUUGGGAUAACUUCAGGUAACUGGGGUUAAUACCGGAUAGGAGCUCCUGUUGCAUGGUGGGGGUUGGAAAGUUUCGGCGGUUGGGGAUGGACUCGCGGCUUAUCAGCUUGUUGGUGGGGUAGUGGCUUACCAAGGCUUUGACGGGUAGCCGGCCUGUGAGGGUGACCGGCCACAUUGGGACUGAGAUACGGCCCAGACUCCUACGGGAGGCAGCAGUGGGGAUUAUUGCACAAUGGGCGGAGGCCUGACGCAGCAACGCCGCGUGCGGGAUGACGGCCUUCGGGUUGUAAACCGCUUUCGCCUGUGACGAAGCGUGAGUGACGGUAAUGGGUGAAGAAGCACCGGCUAACUACGUG